rnacentral:rRNA from 1 species
GACGAACGCUGGCGGCGGGCUUAACACAUGCAAGUCGAACGGAAAGGCCCUGCUGUUGUGGGGUGCUCGAGUGGCGAACGGGUGAGUAACACGUGAGUAACCUGCUCUUGACUUUGGGAUAACUUCAGGAAACUGGGGCUAAUACCGGAUAGUAGCUCCUGCUGCAUGGUGGGGGUGGGAAAGUUUCGGCGGUCGGGGAUGGACGCGCGGCUUAUCAGCUUGUUGGUGGGGUAGUGGCUUACCAAGGCUUUGACGGGUAGCCGACCUGAGAGGGUGACCGGGCACAUUGGGACUGAGAUACGGUGCAGACUCGUACGGGAGGCAGCAGUGGGGAAUAUUGCACAAUGGGCGGAAGCCUGAUGCAGCAACGCCGCGUGCGGGAUGACGGCCUUCGGGUUGUAAACCGCUUUCGCCUGUGACGAAGCGUGAGUGACGGUAAUGGGUAAAGAAGCACCGGCUAACUACGUG